CGUCACUGCUCCCCAAAGCGGAAGUGCCGGGACGUGUGAUGAGCUUUGUAAACAAAAGUAAAUGUGCUUUCAAAGUGAUGCCGUUUACAGAGUGUUUAACCUGAAUCUCCAUCAUGCUGUGUGAAAUUCUUCUGUCAUCACUAUGGUUCCUAUUUGUUAUCUUCUGGAUUGAGACGAUCGGUGUGUGGCUCUUUCUGUCCAUGUUUUACCAGGACCGAGCAUUUUACCACUGGGGAGAUGGGGCAUUUGCAGAUGAUCCAGGACAGAUGGUAUACAUGCUGAGCAGAGUUGAAAACCCAGUGGAGCCAGAGGUUCAGACCUGAGAGGAAAUAUAUAAGGAAAUCCACUGGAACGACUUCCAAUACAGGGUUGCUACAAUCAUGUGACUGGAGACCAACCAAUGAGAGGCAGUUGCUGUUCUUCCUUUGCACUGCCUCUCACUCAGAUGCGCAUAGUCCACUUUCCAUAAUAGCAAGUCCAGAGGUACAGCUUGAUUCAAGACGCAAUGAGGAUUCGGAGGAUGUUCCUCAAUGAUUUGCGUAUCACUUCCACCUCUGCAUGCAUCUUUUUGUUUUUUCUAGAUUUUGGGGGUGUGGACUUAAUGUAAGAGAAAAUGUUAGCUCAAGAAAGAUGAGCUUGGUGCAUCUGUAUCUUAUUUCUUUACUUCAUCCUACACUCAGUUUUGCACAGAUAUAAUGUUUUUGUCAUUCUAUGCAACUCCAGCUGUUCUUAUUUACAGCUAUAUUUGUUGUUCAUCCAAGUCCUUGCCCACGAGGCAUGUGAAUGUUCAUAAUGUUUAUCAGAUUUAUGUUUGAUGUAAAAACAUGUUUUUCCCCACUACAAUUAACUUUUUAUUUUAAUUGAGCAAUUUAUUGGAUACAAUGGAGCAGUUUGUUAGGUUUUAGAAUAGAUGUUUUAUAAUUUGAAUAAGGAUUUCUUAAUUAUUAUUUUUUCUCACAUAACAUUCUCAUUAGUUCAGUUCAUACAAUAAAUGUUAUUUGAGCUUGAAGCCUUGUUGGUGAUCAUGGAAAUAUUUCUUUCCUGGUACAACAUUGUGUGUGGAUGUGUAUGUGUGUGUUGGGGGGGGUGAUUUGUGCUUCCUCCUUGCUCCGCUUUGUCUUCCUCC